UUCGCCCUUUUCCGGUUGAUCCUGCCGGACCUUACUGCUAUCGGGGUGGGACUAAGACAUGCGAGUCGAGCGUCUCUAGCUAUGUUGAGACGCGGCAGACUGCUCAGUAACACGUGGCUAACCUACCCUCAGGACGAGGAUAAACCCGGGAAACUGGGGCUAAUACUCGAUAGGUGAGAAUGUCUGGAAUGAUUUCUCACCCAAAGGGCCUUGGGAACAUGCUUCCAAUGUCGCCUGGGGAUGGGGCCGCGUCCGAUCAGGUUGUUGGUGAGGUAAUGGCUCACCAAGCCUAUAACCGGUACGGGCCGUGAGAGCGGUAGCCCGGAGAUGGGUACUGAGACAAGGACCCAGGCCCUACGGGGCGCAGCAGUCGCGAAAACUCCGCAAUGCACGAAAGUGUGGACGGGGCUACCCCGAGUGCCAUCCGCUGAGGGU
rnacentral:rRNA from 1 species